ACAGAGGGUGCAAGCGUUAAUCGGAGUUACUGGGCGUAAAGGGCGCGUAGGCUGGUAUUUAAGUCAAUUGUGAAAUCCCUGGGCUUAACCUAGGAAUUGCAGUCGAUACUGAAUAUCUUGAGUAUGGUAGAGGAAAGUGGAAUUCUCGGUGUAGUGGUUAAAUACGUAGAUAUCGAGAAGAACACCGGUGGCGAAGGCGACUUUCUGGACCAAUACUGACGCUGAGGCGCGAAAGCGUGGGGAGCAAACAG
rnacentral:rRNA from 1 species